rnacentral:rRNA from 1 species
UUGUUUUUCGUCUUGAGAUCAGACUAUACUCCCAUCAGUCUUUGGUUGGUAGGUAGUAAGAGACUACCAAGGCAAUGACGGGUAGCGGGUUUGAGAGGAUGAUCCGCCACACUGGUACUGAGACACGGACCAG